rnacentral:RNase_P_RNA from 1 species
CGGAGCGGGAAACGCGGCCGCUCCCCGCCCUCGGGCGGGGGGAGGAAAGUCCGGGCUCCGCAGAGCAGAAUGCUGGUUAACGGCCAGUGGGGACGACCCCAAGGAAAGUGCCACAGAAAACAUACCGCCGAUGGAGCCGGCUCGUCCGCGCUCACAGGUAAGGGUGAAAUGGUGGGGGCCUUCGGGCCUUAAUGUAAGAGCCCACCGCGGUCCCGGUGACGGGGCCGGCAGGGUAAACCCCAUUCGGAGCAAGCCCAAAUAAGGCGGCGAUGAUGGUUGCUCGCCUAGCCGCCGGGUAGGGUGCUCGAGCGCAUCGGUAACGGUGCGCCCAGAUAAAUGGUCGCGGCCCUCCUCCCCGGAGGGUACAGAACCCGGCUUAUCGACCGCUUCGGUCU